GACGGGAAGUUUUGUGAAGGUGCCGUCUCUUCAUUAUCGCAGCUCAGACCAGACCACUGCACCGAUAAAUGAGAGAAGUGCUGAGGACGGCUUUUAACUUUUGGCUGCUACGGGACUGAAUGUGACCCCUGGACCGGAUUACGCACAGAAACAUUGACCGGCAGUGCAUGUACAUUGGAACAAUGGUGGAGUUUGCGUUUGCUUUGGAAGGGAAACUGGAUGACAUCAACAAACCAUUCCUUUAAUGGCUUCAGCGCUUUCACACCCAACAACAUAUUGUUAAAGCUUUCUUCAAGACAGAUCGCUUUGCCCUAGCAUAAAGAUAAUACAUUAAAUCUUGAUGUACUCGUUACAUCAUAAGAAGAAUGGCAUCUACGCUAAUUAGUGUCUUUGUUUAUCCCGAGGUUUUCCCGCAGCCUGCCGGAUCCAGGCCGUAUCCAGAUCUGGCGAGGACCUUAGCCUGGACACGAUGACGAUGACAAUGCAGUGCUGAAGUGCCAACUAGCCUCUCCCUAUGGAGGAUCCCUUUCCCACUCUACAGAUUAAGCGAUGUGAAUUCGUUUCGCGUCCCUACCCUGAAGUGAUUCGAAAAUCUGUAUCAAAUUUUUAGACAAGAAGUUUGUUCAGGCAUGAGGGAAUUUAAAAACCUGCGCGCAUAUAUUCAAACGCACAUAACUAUUGAAUCAAUUCUUAAUGCGCAUGUGAACGUCAUCAGCAGGGCUGUUACUACCAAUUUAUCACAGGUUCACGUUUAAAGUCUAUUUAGAAACAUUCAUAUACAUUUUUACGUGACAGUUACUGUAAAUUCGGCCUCUAGUUCAUAAACGCCAGAGGAGAACUGGCCCC